GACUGUUCUGGAAUUGAAGAUGCGUUUGGUUGCUCCUCUUCCCUUCGUUCCGUUGAAUGUUGUUCUGGUUCUUUCUGAUUUUCCUCAACUUCAGUAACCACAGGUUCACCUUUUACUGUUUCUGUAGGCUCAACUUCAGUAGCCACAGGUUCUUCUUUUACCGUUUCUGUAGCUUGAACUUCAGUAGCCACAGGUUCUUCUUUUACCAUUUCUCUAGGAUCAACUUCAGUAACCACAGGUUUGACUUUUACUGAUUCUGUCAGAUCAACUUCAGUAACCAGGGGUUCUUUUACUGUUUUUGUAAUUUCAACUUCUGUAGCCACAGCUUCUUCUUUUACUGUCUCUGUAGGAUCAACUUCAGUAACUAUAGGUUCGUCUUUUACCGUUUCUGUUGCCUCGAAUUCAGUAGCUGCAGGUUCAUCUUUUACCAUUUCUGUAGGCUCAACUACAGUUGUCACAGGUUCUUCUUUUACGGUUUCUGUAGCUUCAACUUCAGUAGCCACAGAUUCUUCUUUUACUGUUUCUGUAGCUUCAACUUCAGUAGCCACUGGUUCUUCUUUUACUGUUUCUGUAGCUUCAACUUCAGUAGCCACUGGUUCUUCUUUUACUGUUUCUGUAGCUUCAACUUCAGUAGCUGCAGGUUCGUCUUUUACCGUUUCUGUAGCCUCAACUUCAGUUGCCACAGGUUCUUCUUUUACCGUUUCUGUAGGCUCAACUUCAGUAGCCACGGGUUCUUCUUUUACUGUUUCUGUAGCUUCAGCUUCAGUAGCUAGAGGUUCUUCUUUUACCGUUUCUGUAGGAUCAACUUCAGUAACCACAGGUUCGUCUUUUACGGUUUCUGUAACCUUAACUUCAGUAGCUGCAGGUUCUUCUUUUACUGUUUCCGUAGCCUCAACUUCAGUAGCCACAAGUUCUUCUUUUAGUGUUUCUGUAGCCUCAACUUCAGUAACCACGGGUUCUUCUUUUACUAUCUCUGCAGUCGCAACUUCGGUAACCAUGGGUUCUUCUUUCACUGUUUCUGUAG
rnacentral:lncRNA from 1 species